UGGGGAAUAUUGGACAAUGGGCGAAAGCCUGAUCCAGCAAUGCCGCGUGUGUGAAGAAGGCCUGCGGGUUGUAAAGCACUUUCGUUGAGGAGGAUUGUUAAGUGGUUUAAUAGACCAUUUAAUUGACGUUACUCAAAGAAGAAGCACCGGCUAACUCUGUGCCAGCAGCCGCGGUAAUACAGAGGGUGCGAGCGUUAAUCGGAAUUACUGGGCGUAAAGGGUGCGUAGGUGGUUACUUAAGUUAGGUGUGAAAUCCCAGGGCUCAACCUUGGAACUGCGCUUGAUACUGGGUAACUAGAGUACUAGAGAGGAGUGUGGAAUUUCCGGUGUAGCGGUGAAAUGCGUAGAUAUCGGAAGGAACACCAGUGGCGAAGGCGGCACUCUGGCUAGAAACUGACACUGAUGCACGAAAGCGUGGGGAGCAAACAGGAUUAGAUACCCUGGUAGUCCAUGCUGUAAACGAUGAGUACUUGCUGUUAGGCUCGCGAGAGUUUAGUAGCGGAGCAAACGCGUUAAGUACUCCGCCUGGGGACUACGACCGCAAGGUUA
rnacentral:rRNA from 1 species